rnacentral:rRNA from 1 species
GAACGGUAGAGGGGGCAACCCCUUGAGAGUGGCGAACGGGUGAGUAAUAUAUCGGAACGUGCCCAGUCGUGGGGGAUAACGUAGCGAAAGUUACGCUAAUACCGCAUACGAUCUAAGGAUGAAAGCGGGGGAUCGCAAGACCUCGCGCGACUGGAGCGGCCGAUAUCAGAUUAGGUAGUUGGUAGGGUAAAGGCCUACCAAGCCAACGAUCUGUAGCUGGUCUGAGAGGACGACCAGCCACACUGGAACUGAGACACGGUCCAGACUCCUACGGGAGGCAGCAGUGGGGAAUUUUGGACAAUGGGCGAAAGCCUGAUCCAGCCAUUCCGCGUGCAGGAUGAAGGCCCUCGGGUUGUAAACUGCUUUUGUACAGAACGAAAAGGUUUCUAUUAAUACUAGGAGCUCAUGACGGUACUGUAAGAAUAAGCACCGGCUAACUACGUGCCAGCAGCCGCGGUAAUACGUAGGGUGCAAGCGUUAAUCGGAAUUACUGGGCGUAAAGCGUGCGCAGGCGGUUAUAUAAGUCAGAUGUGAAAUCCCCGGGCUCAACCUGGGAACUGCAUUUGAGACUGUAUAGCUAGAGUACGGUAGAGGGGGAUGGAAUUCCGCGUGUAGCAGUGAAAUGCGUAGAUAUGCGGAGGAACACCGAUGGCGAAGGCAAUCCCCUGGACCUGUACUGACGCUCAUGCACGAAAGCGUGGGGAGCAAACAGGAUUAGAUACCCUGGUAGUCCACGCCCUAAACGAUGUCAACUGGUUGUUGGGUCUUAACUGACUCAGU